GACGAACGCUGGCGGCGUGCCUAAUACAUGCAAGUAGGACGCAGUUGCGAACGGGUGAGUAACGCGAAGGUCACUACCUAUUAGAGGGGGAUAACUAUUGGAAACGAUAGCUAAUACCGCAUACUAGUAGAUGGACCUGCGUUGUAUUUGCUCGUAGGUAGGGUAAUGGCCUAACUAGGCAACGAUACAUAGCCGCGCGGAGAGGGUGAGCGGCCACACUGGGAUUGAGGCACGGCCCAGACUCCUACGGGAGGCAGCAGUAGGGAAUCUUCGGCAAUGGGGGGAACCCUGAUCGAGAAACGCCGCGGGAGUGAAGAAGGUUGUCGGAUCGUAAAGCUCUGUUGUUAAGGAAGCGGUACUUAACCAGAAAGUGACGGCUAACUACGUGCCAGCAGCCGCGGUAAUAC
rnacentral:rRNA from 1 species